UUCAGUUGAGGCAUUGUUGGUCCUGUCUAUGACAGGCGAAGAGGGAAUGCGACAAGCACUUGAGCCGGAAUUGCUCAAAAGCUUACAACGCAGCCGCCCCCGCGACCGUGACCGGAGAGGACGUUCAACGCCACUGGCAAAAGCUGGGAAGGCCGAACGUCCGCAGGAUUAAAAACCCUACAUCCGCAAGCCGGGAGACCUGCCAACAGCGUGACUGAAAC
rnacentral:ncRNA from 2 species